UACGUAGGCAGCAAGCGUUGUCCGGAUUUAUUGGGCGUAAAGAGCGUGUAGGCGGCCAAGCAGGUCAGCUGUGAAAACUCGAGGCUCAACCUCGAGACGUCGGUUGAAACCGCUUGGCUAGAGUCCGGAAGAGGAGAGUGGAAUUCCCGGUGUAGAGGUGAAAUUCGUAGAUAUCGGGAGGAACACCGGUGGCGAAGGCGGCGAUCUGGGUAGAUACUGACGCUGAGGUGCGAAAGCGUGGGGAGCAAACAGG
rnacentral:rRNA from 1 species